GUUCCAUCAAGAGUCGGCAGAGGGAUUGGCCCGAUGACGCCGCAGCAACCUUCACUAUUGAAAAGGUGCUAAUUCCAACAGUGCUUUCACUGGAAGAUGGGUA
rfam:Megasphaera sp. BV3C16-1 contig00010, whole genome shotgun sequence.